CUCCGUGUUGUAGCUAACGCGUUAAGCACUCCGCCUGGGGACUACGGUCGCAAGACUAAAACUCAAAGGAAUUGACGGGGACCCGCACAAGCGGUGGAGCAUGUGGUUUAAUUCGAUGCAACGCGAAAAACCUUACCACUCCUUGACAUGGAGAUUAGAUCCUUCUUAACAGAAGGGCGCAGUUCGGCUGGAUCUCGCACAGGUGCUGCAUGGCUGUCGUCAGCUCGUGUCGUGAGAUGUUGGGUUAAGUCCCGCAACGAGCGUAACCCUCAUCCUUAGUUGCCAGCGGGUAAAGCCGGGCACUUUAAGGAAACUGCCGGUGGUAAACUGGAGGAAGGUGGGGAUGAUGUCAAGUCAGCACGGCCCUUAUGGGGUGGGCUACACACGUGCUACAAUGGUGACUACAAUAGGUUGCAAUGUCGCAAGGCUGAGCUAAUCCGUAAAAGUCAUCUCAGUUCGGAUUGUCCUCUGCAACUCGAGGGCAUGAAGUCGGAAUCGCUAGUAAUCGUGGAUCAGCAUGCCACGGUGAAUACGUUCUCGGGUCUUGUACACACUGCCCGUCACGCCAUGGGAAUUGGCUUAACUCGAAGCUGGUGCGC
rnacentral:rRNA from 1 species